rnacentral:rRNA from 1 species
GAGGGUUUCCGCCCUUCAGUGCUGCAGCUAACGCAUUAAGCACUCCGCCUGGGGAGUACGACCGCAAGGUUGAAACUCAAAGGAAUUGACGGGGGCCCGCACAAGCGGUGGAGCAUGUGGUUUAAUUCGAAGCAACGCGAAGAACCUUACCAGGUCUUGACAUCCUUUGACCACUCUAGAGAUAGAGCUUCCCCUUCGGGGGCAAAGUGACAGGUGGUGCAUGGUUGUCGUCAGCUCGUGUCGUGAGAUGUUGGGUUAAGUCCCGCAACGAGCGCAACCCUUAUUGUUAGUUGCCAUCAUUCAGUUGGGCACUCUAGCAAGACUGCCGGUGACAAACCGGAGGAAGGUGGGGAUGACGUCAAAUCAUCAUGCCCCUUAUGACCUGGGCUACACACGUGCUACAAUGGGAAGUACAACGAGUUGCGAAGUCGCGAGGCUAAGCUAAUCUCUUAAAGCUUCUCUCAGUUCGGAUUGCAGGCUGCAACUCGCCUGCAUGAAGCCGGAAUCGCUGU